AGUGAACGCUGGCGGCAGGCCUAACACAUGCAAGUCGAACGGCAGCACAGGAGAGCUUGCUCUCUGGGUGGCGAGUGGCGGACGGGUGAGGAAUAUAUCGGAAUCUACCCUUUCGUGGGGGAUAACGUAGGGAAACUUACGCUAAUACCGCAUACGAACUGAGGUUGAAAGCGGCGGACCGCAAGGCGUCGCGCGGAUGGAUGAGCCGAUAUCCGAUUAGCUAGUUGGCGGGGUAAAGGCCCACCAAGGCGACGAUCGGUAGCUGGUCUGAGAGGAUGAUCAGCCACACUGGAACUGAGACACGGUCCAGACUCCUACGGGAGGCAGCAGUGGGGAAUAUUGGACAAUGGGGCGCAAGCCUGAUCCAGCCAUGCCGCGUGUGUGAAGAAGGCC
rnacentral:rRNA from 1 species